rnacentral:tRNA from 1 species
GAGGGUAUUGCUCAGUGGUAGAGUGCAUGCUUAGCAUGCACGAGGUCCCGGGUUCAAUCCCCAGUGCCUCCU